GUGUUUGAUGACUUAGAACCUAAAUUACGGAUGAUAAUGGCUAACAUGUCUGCUGGAUUAUAUUGGACAAGUGAAUUCACCGGCUGGCAACUUGGGCUGUCUCAUUGGAUAUUACCAUGGAGUAGGUUCCUCUGAUCAGUCAUCAGUGAUCCUGCCCGCUGUUUAGGCAAAUAUAUGUAGCAUGUGCCAAUGAGUGCUCCUUUUCACAUCAGGAAGAUCAAAAAAGAUCAUGGUAAUCAGAUGCACAUAUAUUUGUGAUCAGAUAUGAUUAUGUCAAAUAUUUUGAGCUUUGCAGAUUGAUACAAACAUUAUCUAAGAUAAAAGAAUUCUGUUAAAUAGUUGAGGACAAGUUCUGCUCAAGUAGGACAAGCACAAAUAGCUUUUUGUUUAUCUUUUACCUUUUUUUUUUUAAAAAAAAUUGUGAGAG
rnacentral:lncRNA from 1 species